rnacentral:rRNA from 1 species
CCUACGGGUGGCAGCAGUGAGGAAUAUUGGUCAAUGGACGAGAGUCUGAACCAGCCAAGUAGCGUGAAGGAUGACUGCCCUAUGGGUUGUAAACUUCUUUUAUAUGGGAAUAAAAUGUUCCACGUGUGGGAUUUUGUAUGUACCAUAUGAAUAAGGAUCGGCUAACUCCGUGCCAGCAGCCGCGGUAAUACGGAGGAUCCGAGCGUUAUUCGGAUUUAUUGGGUUUAACGGGAGCGUAGGUGGAUUGUUAAGGCAGUUGUGAAAGUUUGCGGCUCAACCGUAAAAUUGCAGUUGAAACUGGCAGUCUUGAGUACAGUAGAGGUGGGCGGAAUUCGUGGUGUAGCGGUGAAAUGCUUAGAUAUCACGAAGAACUCCGAUUGCGAAGGCAGUUCACUGGACUGCAACUGACACUGAGGCUCGAAAGUGUGGGUAUCAAACAGGAUUAGAUACCCCAGUAGUC